rnacentral:rRNA from 1 species
CCUACGGGAGGCAGCAGUGGGGAAUAUUGCACAAUGGGGGAAACCCUGAUGCAGCGACGCCGCGUGAGUGAAGAAGUAAUUCGUUAUGUAAAGCUCUAUCAGCAGGGAAGAACAUGACGUUUCCUGAGUAAGAAGCCCCUGCUAACUCCGUGCCAGCAGCCGCGGUAAUACGUAGGGCGCAAGCGUUAUCCGGAUUUACUGGGUGUAAAGGGAGCGUAGACGGCAGUGCAAGUCUGGAGUGAAAGGCGGGGGCUCAACGCCCGGACUGCUCGGGAAACUGGACGGCUGGAGUGCAGGAGAGGAAAGUGGAAUUCCUAGUGUAGCAGUGAAAUGCGUAGAUAGUAGGAGGAACACCAGUGGCGAAGGCGGCUAACUGGACUGUAACUGACGUUGAGGAGCGAAAGCGUGGGGAGCAAACAGGAUUAGAUACCCGGGUAGUC